rnacentral:misc_RNA from 1 species
UCCACAUGAGUCUGGGGAACAUCUUUC